rnacentral:rRNA from 1 species
ACGUAGGGGGCAAGCGUUGUCCGGAUUUACUGGGCGUAAAGAGCGCGUAGGCGGAAGCUUAAGUGUGGCCUGAAAGCCCCCGGCUCAACCGGGGAGGGUGGCUGCAAACUGGGUUUCUUGAGGGGGAUAGAGGAGAGUGGAAUUCCUGGUGUAGCGGUGAAAUGCGUAGAGAUCAGGAGGAACACCCGUGGCGAAGGCGGCUCACUGGCCCGAUACUGACGCUGAGGUGCGAAAGCGUGGGGAGCAAACAGGA